CGUGAAGUUGAUACAAUGAGUCGUGGACGUGAAAAUACAAGAUAGCCUCCUAUUGACUUUGCGCAGACAUUUCAAUGUUAUUUUCAAGCUCCAGGCAGAAUAUUAAAUUUCCAUUUUCAUUUUUCUCACUUACUAUAUAAGAUGAGGUUGACAAGAGUUAAUUAGUAAGUUUGAGGACUGGUAGCAAAUACAGCGAAACGUACGAAGGAUGGCUCUUCUGAAAUUGUAUUUUUACUCAUUAACAGCUCUGCUGGCCGUAAAUUUAAUUUUAGCGGACAAUUCCAACGAAACUGAACAACAGGAAAAGGCUAGUUUGUUUCCUGGCAAUUUUAACCCACUUGAUUUCUUCGGUCAGUUUUUACCAUUCUUCGGGAACCGACAAACUAGAGAUGUGAGUAAUCAGAAGGACCAGGAAGGCCAGGAAAACCAGGAAAACCAGGAAACUACCAGCGAAAGUUCCAAUCAACGAUUGACUGUCGCUAGUGCUAUAGUGACUUGUAACUACACAGCAACACCUGGCUUGUCCUGUGUGGGCUGUUAUCAAGCGCUGUCAUGCGGCUCUGGCAACAUUGGCAGACAGAGGCGUUGCUUGCUGUACUGCAACAGUGGUAGAUGUUCGCUCGUCCCUGGAGCGCAAUGCUUAAACGCUACAGCUGCUGGCUAAACAUAUUGAUAAGUUUCGGCACGUGACUUGACCAGAUUAUUUGUAUGGAUGGACUUUCUUCAUGUAAAACUCAC